UACGUAGGGUGCGAGCGUUAAUCGGAAUUACUGGGCGUAAAGCGUGCGCAGGCGGUUUUGUAAGCCAGAUGUGAAAGCCCCGGGCUUAACCUGGGAAUGGCAUUUGGGACUGCAAGGCUUGAGUGCGGCAGAGGAGACUGGAAUUCCUGGUGUAGCAGUGAAAUGCGUAGAUAUCAGGAGGAAUACCGAUGGCGAAGGCGGGUCUCUGGGCCGAUAUUGACGCUGAGGAGCGAAAGCGUGGGGAGCGAACAGG
rnacentral:rRNA from 1 species